UACGGAGGGGGCAAGCGUUAUUCGGAAUUAUUGGGCGUAAAGGGCGCGUAGGCGGCUAGAUGUGUCAAAGGUGAAAUCCCUCGGCUCAACUGAGGAACUGCCUUUGAAACUGUCUGGCUUGAGGCCGGGAGAGGGUAGCGGAAUUCCCAGUGUAGAGGUGAAAUUCGUAGAUAUCAGGAGGAAUACCGGUGGUGUAGACGGCUCUCUGGACCGCGACUGACGCUGAGACACGAAAGCGUGGGUAGCAAACAGG
rnacentral:rRNA from 1 species